rnacentral:lncRNA from 1 species
AGACAGGUGUGGAGGAUGAGAAGCGGGCCACAGGAUGGGAAGGGAAUCUGUGUGGAGGCGGUGCCCUAAACAUGCUGCCUUGAGGAGGGACCUCUACAUGGGGUGGCCGGGCACAGCCAGAUGUCCCUGGAGACAGCGCCAUCUGGUGGAACUUCCUGUAACGAUCGAGAUGUUCCGUCUGUGCCGUCCAACAUGGGAGCCAUGCAGGACACAUGGUGACUGAGCACUGGGACUGUGUGCCGCGUGACCAAGAGCAGCUCAGCUCUAAAGUCUCCUCCAGCUUUAUGAUGUCACUUCCUGUAUCUUCUCUACACAUUCUUUCCUUCAGCCUGUUGUUUGUAAGUUUUUAUGUAGGAAAGUAGAAAAUUCAGAAUAUGUUUCAUCAGGUUUUUGUUUGGCAAAGUGUCAACAUGUUUAUAACAGAGUUAAAGAUAAAGGAAA